UACGUAGGGGGCAAGCGUUGUCCGGAUUUAUUGGGCGUAAAGAGCGUGUAGGCGGCCAGGUAGGUCAGCUGUGAAAACUCGAGGCUCAACCUCGAGACGCCGGUUGAAACCAUCUGGCUAGAGUCCGGAAGAGGAGAGUGGAAUUCCUGGUGUAGCGGUGAAAUGCGCAGAUAUCAGGAAGAACACCCGUGGCUAAGGCGGCUCUCUAGUACGGUACUGACGCUGAGGUGCGAAAGCGUGGGGAGCAAACAGG
rnacentral:rRNA from 1 species